CAGCUUCAUCUCUCUUCUCAUAACUCUCGCGAGACCCGGUUACCAUGGCAACGCUCCGCGGGUCUCGCGAGAGUUAUGAGAAGAGAGGGGAAGCUGUGUGCUG